AGUUUUUUAAUCUUUCUUUUUUUGUAAGUUCUUUGAUCUUAUACUCCUCCCAACUCGCCCCAUGUGAGGGACCAGCUCCCCCCACGUUCAUAAGAGCAUCCGCAGGGUUUCACAGAGCAACACGAUUCUGCCCACACCCCAGGGCUCUGGCACUCCAAACAGAGUAUUUUUAGUAAGGAAAAACUUUUUUUUUUUUUUUUUUUAAGGGGAAACAGCACUUCUGUAUUUUUGGAUGUGCUUCCUAAAAAAAUAAGACGUAAUAAUGAAGCAAUCUGUUCUAAGGAAUUUUGUUCCCUGACCAAGUUUAAUCUAUUUGAGACAAUCUUCAACCCGAUCUUUACCUCUCACUCCCAGAAAGACUGAAUUCAGUCUCUAAAAUCAUUGGCUUCUGUGGCUAGACUAUUUCUUUUUCCCAGAUGAACAUUUCAUGCAUAAGAGAACGGAAAAAAAUACUCAGUGCUGAUUUCACUUGGGACUGUUAUUAUCUAAAUAGACUUGCAUGCUGUCCUGGGAGAUCGAGCGGGAACAGCAGUGAACAUCAAGGCCUCGUCUCUCUUAAUGAUGGCAAGAUAAUAGCUUUCGGUGUUGGACGGUGUCAGCUACAGUGCCAGCUGCUGGCAUAUUUAUCUAGGGAGGGCUUCCGGCAGGACAAAGGAUCCACAGGGAGGAGAAAGGACAAAGACACUUUAAAUUCACCUCAGUCCACAGCAGGAGGAAACACUCUUGCAUUUUAUUUUGGAAAAUCAUGCUUUUACUUCUUGAAGCCGGCAGGACAUCUAGUGUCUCUAUACAUAAAAAAAUUGUGUGUGCAGGCAAUGUUGGAAUGCAGAUGUUUUCCUUCAAAUGAUCCCCUACAACCAGAAGACUCAGCUAACUCAGGUCAGGAGCCCUUAACUGCAACCCUAAUGCUGUCUCGAAAAGCCCCCCCUCAUUUUCUCCUGCAUUUUGUACAAAUUCAGCAGGCUGGGGCGCCCAGGUGGCUCAGUUGGUUAAGCGUCUGACUUCUGCUAGGGUCAUGAUCUCAGGGUUCUGGGAUGGGAGAUCCAAGGUGGGCUCUCUGCUCACUGGGGAGUCUGCUUCUCCCUCUGCUCCCACCCCCACCCCGACUUGGCACACACACACACACACACACACACACACACUCACUCUCUCUCUCUCUCUCAAGUGAAUAAAUAAAGUCUUAAAAAAAAGAGGCAAUUCAGCAGGUUGGAACAGGUAGGACAUAGAUCCCUCAGCCUGCAGGGUUGCCGAGCUGAGCCCUCCUCUUGGGAUUUUGGGCUACUGUGUACACCUCGCAGCCAGGCCUCUGAGCAGUGUCUUAGGGGCAUGUGGGUCCCUACUCUCCCUCCCAAACCCAUACCCAGCCCCCACUCCAACCCUUCCCCAAUCUGUUACCCUCCAUCUCCAGUUUCAACACAGACCUUUCUGACUUACAGAGCUCAAGAGCCCAAAUUGGUGACCACAACACUUUCCUCUUCCUUAGUGACAAGGAGGACUGACCGAGUCUCCAGUUUCUAGUAGGUGGCGGUGAUAUGGGGGAUGGGGUGUGGACUACAUUCCAUACCUCUGAGAAAAGGGAGGAGAAAUCAAACAGCUAAAUAGUUGCGUUAGAAAAGGCGGACCUCCUGCACUGGCGACAGAUACGGGUCUAAUUCAGUCAGAAUUCAGUCAGCUACGGAGCUGUUACAGGUUUUGAAGACACGGUGGCAAGGGCUCCCCA